rnacentral:rRNA from 1 species
CCUACGGGUGGCAGCAGUGAGGAAUAUUGGUCAAUGGACGCAAGUCUGAACCAGCCAUGCCGCGUGCAGGAAGACGGCUCUAUGAGUUGUAAACUGCUUUUGUACGAGGGUAAACGCAGAUACGCGUAUCUGUCUGAAAGUAUCGUACGAAUAAGGAUCGGCUAACUCCGUGCCAGCCGCCGCGGUAAUACGGAGGAUUCAAGCGUUAUCCGGAUUUAUGGGGUUUAAAGGGUGCGUAGGCGGUCGGAUAAGUUAGAGGUGAAAUCCCGAGGCUCAACUUCGGAAUUGCCUCUGAUACUGUUCGGCUAGAGAGUAGUAGCGGUAGGCGGAAUGUAUGGUGUAGCGGUGAAAUGCUUAGAUAUCAUACAGAACACAGAUUGCGAAGGCAGCUUACCAAGCUACUUCUGACGUUGAGGCACGAAAGCGUGGGGAGCAAACAGGAGUAGAUACCCGGGUAGUC